rnacentral:rRNA from 1 species
AACUCUUAACGGUGGAUCACUUGGCUCGUGGGUCGAUGAAGACCGCAGCUAACUGCGUGUCGGUAUGUGAAUCGCAAGAAUACCAGAUACAUCGACAAGUCGAACGCACAUUGCGGCGGCAGUCCUGAUAUGUGUACUGUCGCCACUCCUGCGCGAGGGUCG